rnacentral:rRNA from 1 species
CUAUGGGACGCACCAGUAAGGAAUAUUGCGCAAUGGAGGCAACUCUGACGCAGCCAUGCCGCGUGCAGGAAGAAGGCCUUAUGGGUCGUAAACUGCUUUUAUUUAGGAAUAAACCCCCGAACGUGUUCGGGGCUGAAGGUACUAAACGAAUAAGCACCGGCUAACUCCGUGCCAGCAGCCGCGGUAAUACGGAGGGUGCAAGCGUUAUCCGGAUUUAUUGGGUUUAAAGGGUGCGCAGGCGGGCUAUUAAGUCAGUGGUGAAAUCCCGGGGCUCAACUCCGGAACUGCCAUUGAUACUGAUAGUCUUGAGUUUGGUUGAAGUGGGCGGAAUGUAGCAUGUAGCGGUGAUAUGCAUAGAUAUGCUACAGAACACCAAUCGCGAAGGCAGCUCACUAAGCCAAAACUGACGCUCAUGCACGAAAGCGUGGGGAUCAAACAGGAUUAGAUACCCGGGUAGUC